CGCACAUUGCGCCCAUCAGUACUCUGGUGGGCAUGCCUGUUCGAGCGUCAUUUCAACCCUCAGGCCCUGUACUGCCUGGCGUUGGGGCUUCUGCGAGCGUUCUCCAAGAACCUCUCGCAGGCCCCCAAGAUCAGUGGCGGGCCCGCCGCGGCUCCGAGCGUAGUAGUUUACUUUCUCGCUUGGGAGGCUCGGCGGUUCCCAGCCGUCAAAAAACACCACUGUAACUUUACAAGGUUGACCUCGGAUCAGGUAGGAAUACCCGCUGAACUUAA
rnacentral:misc_RNA from 1 species